UACGUAGGGUGCAAGCGUUAAUCGGAAUUACUGGGCGUAAAGCGUGCGCAGGCGGUUGUGCAAGACCGAUGUGAAAUCCCCGGGCUUAACCUGGGAAUGGCAUUGGUGACUGCACGGCUAGAGUGUGUCAGAGGGGGGUAGAAUUCCACGUGUAGCAGUGAAAUGCGGAGAGAUGUGGAGGAAUACCGAUGGCGAAGGCAGCCCCCUGGGAUAACACUGACGCUCAUGCACGAAAGCGUGGGGAGCAAACAGG
rnacentral:rRNA from 1 species